rnacentral:rRNA from 1 species
UACGUAGGGGCCUAGCGUUGUCCGGAUUUAUUGGGCGUAAAGAGCUCGUAGGCGGCUUGGUUAGUCAGGUGUGAAUCUCCACGCUCAACGUGGAGGGCCACCUGAUACUGCCAUGGCUUGAGUCCGGUAGGGGAGUGUGGAAUUCCCGGUGUAGCGGUGAAAUGCGCAGAUAUCGGGAGGAACACCGGUGGCGAAGGCGGGUCUGCUGGGCAGUAACUGACGCUGAGGAGCGAAAGCGUGGGGAGCGAACAGG